rnacentral:tRNA from 1 species
GAGGAUAUAGCUCAGUGUAGAACACAUGACUAGCAUGCAUGAGGUCCUGGGUUCAAUCCCUGGUACUUCCA